rnacentral:rRNA from 1 species
CCUACGGGUGGCUGCAGUGAGGAAUAUUGCGCAAUGGGGGCAACCCUGACGCAGCGACGCCGCGUGAGUGAGGAAGGCCUUCGGGUCGUAAAGCUCUGUCAAGAGGGAAGAAAUGCAUGGUGGUUAAUAUCUGUCAUGUUUGACGGUACCUCUAAAGGAAGCACCGGCUAACUCCGUGCCAGCAGCCGCGGUAAUACGGAGGGUGCAAGCGUUGUUCGGAAUCACUGGGCGUAAAGGGCGCGCAGGCGGCCUGAUUAGUCAGAUGUGAAAGCCCAAGGCUUAACUGUGGAAGUGCAUUUGAAACUGUCAGGCUUGAGUACCAGAGGGGAAAGUGGAAUUCCCGGUGUAGAGGUGAAAUUCGUAGAUAUCGGGAGGAAUACCGGUGGCGAAGGCGACUUUCUGGCUGGAUACUGACGCUGAGGCGCGAAAGCGUGGGGAGCAAACAGGAUUAGAUACCCUUGUAGUC